UGCACAUGGAGACAAACUACAGACCUACAAA
rnacentral:piRNA from 1 species